rnacentral:snRNA from 1 species
UGAUUCACGUUUGAGUUAU